GGAUGUGAGGCCUAACUGGCUGCAACAUCUGUCACCCCAUUGACCGCCAGGGUUGAUUCGGCUGAUCUGGCUGGCUAGGUGGGUGUCCCCUUCCUCCCUCACCACUCCAUGUAUGCCCCCCCCCCCGAAGCUGCGUGCUUAGUUGAAGAGGACGGCCUUCCCCCAAUAGAGAUGGACCAGUCUUCAGUAAAGGGUAUACAAGUAGCUGCGCUCCCCUGCUAGAACCUCUAAACAAGCUCUAAAGGAGCAGUGCAGAGAAGUCUUGUGUACCCUUUAUCCAGUUUCU
rnacentral:snRNA from 1 species